CCUCCUCGCUGCUCUGGGCGCCCAGGAGGUGACUCGCUUCGGGGGGAACGGGGAACGAGCGGGAGGUGUUGAUCUUCCCGCUGAACCGCUGCAUGCUACACGCGGGUGAGGAUCAGUCCCACAUCGGUGGGAGGGAGAGAGAGGGAUCCUGCUCCCCGGUGCUCUGCACCGGCAACCGGAGAGAAGCCCGGGGGUUCAAGAGAGCAGAGACGGGGGAGUGAUGAGAGGAAGAAGAGAGAAGAUAGAUAAAUAAAUAAUAAAACGCAAUCGAGCCGUAACACCACAGGCCCCGGGAAUGCUGCACCAUCCAGUGUUGGGAAGGAAAAAAAUAUAGAAGAGAAAAAAAAAAAAAAAACAAAACC